rnacentral:rRNA from 1 species
AUUGAACGCUGGCGGCAGGCUUAACACAUGCAAGUCGAGCGGAGAGAGGUAGCUUGCUACUAAUCUUAGCGGCGGACGGGUGAGUAAUGCUUAGGAAUCUGCCUAUUAGUGGGGGACAACAUUUCGAAAGGAAUGCUAAUACCGCAUACGUCCUACGGGAGAAAGCAGGGGAUCUUCGGACCUUGCGCUAAUAGAUGAGCCUAAGUCGGAUUAGCUAGUUGGUGGGGUAAAGGCCUACGAAGACGACGAUCUGUAGCGGGUCGGAGAGGAUGAUCCGCCACACUGGGACUGGGACACGGCCCAGACUCCUACGGGAGGCAGCAGUGGGGAAUAUUGGACAAUGGGCGCAAGCCUGAUCCAGCCAUGCCGCGUGUGUGAAGAAGGCCUUAUGGUUGUAAAGCACUUUAAGCGAGGAGGAGGCUACUUUAGUUAAUACCUAGAGAUAGUGGACGUUACUCGCAGAAUAAGCACCGGCUAACUCUGUGCCAGCAGCCGCGGUAAUAC